rnacentral:snRNA from 1 species
AUACUUACCUGGCAGGGGAGAUACCAUCAUCACCAAGGUGGUUUUACCAGGGUGAGGCUUAUUCAUUGCACUCCAGUUAUGCUGACCCCUGCGAUUUCCCUAAAUGUGGGACCCUCAACUGCAUAAUUUAGGGGACUAAAANUCCCCAAAUGUGGGACCCUCAA